ACAAAGAGUAGGAGAAGAACCACAGACAGAGAUUAUCUGCCAAUCUAGAAAGAAUCUGGAGGAGAAAGAGUUACUAGGGAUAAAUAGAGCAAGCUUGAUGUCACCAACUUUUGGUCUCCUGCAUUCCUUUUCUCUGUGUGUCUGAGAAAGAGUUCAGGUCAGUUCAGGUCACAGGGGGCCUCUGUAUAUUCUGCUGUCGAGUUUUACAGAUUGGACAGGUGUCCCUCCCCUGUAAAAUCAAC